AGCCUGAUCCCAGCCAUACGGCGUGGGUGAAGAAGGCCUUCGGGUUGUAAAGCCCUUUUGUUGGGAAAGAAAUCCAGCUGGUUAAUACCCGGUUGGGAUGACGGUACCCAAAGAAUAAGCACCGGCUAACUUCGUGCCAGCAGCCGCGGUAAUACGAAGGGUGCAAGCGUUACUCGGAAUUACUGGGCGUAAAGCGUGCGUAGGUGGUCGUUUAAGUCCGUUGUGAAAGCCCUGGGCUCAACCUGGGAACUGCAGUGGAUACUGGACGACUAGAGUGUGGUAGAGGGUAGCGGAAUUCCUGGUGUAGCAGUGAAAUGCGUAGAGAUCAGGAGGAACAUCCAUGGCGAAGGCAGCUACCUGGACCAACACUGACACUGAGGCACGAAAGCGUGGGGAGCAAACAGGAUUAGAUACCCUGGUAGUCCACGCCCUAAACGAUGCGAACUGGAUGUUGGGUGCAAUUUGGCACGCAGUAUCGAAGCUAACGCGUUAAGUUCGCCGCCUGGGGAGUACGGUCGCAAGACUGAAACUCAAAGGAAUUGACGGA
rnacentral:rRNA from 1 species